UACAGAGGGUGCGAGCGUUGUCCGGAAUCACUGGGCGUAAAGGGCGCGUAGGCGGCUUGGUAAGCGUGCGGUGAAAGCCCGGGGCUCAACCCCGGGUCGGCCGUGCGAACUGCUGGGCUGGAGCACUGUAGAGGCAGGUGGAAUUCCGGGUGUAGCGGUGGAAUGCGUAGAGAUCCGGAAGAACACCGGUGGCGAAGGCGGCCCGCUGGGCUGUUGCUGACGCUGAGGCGCGACAGCGUGGGGAGCAAACAGG
rnacentral:rRNA from 1 species